rnacentral:rRNA from 1 species
AAACGACUCUCGGCAACGGAUAUCUCGGCUCUCGCAUCGAUGAAGAACGUAGCGAAAUGCGAUACUUGGUGUGAAUUGCAGAAUCCCGUGAACCAUCGAGUCUUUGAACGCAAGUUGCGCCGGAAGCNUUCGGGCCGAGGGAACGCCUGCCUGGGCGUCACGCA